rnacentral:lncRNA from 1 species
UCAGAUCAAUUUGUAUCCCGAACAAUCAGCAAACGUUAUUGUUCUACAGUCUAUUUGCUACUCUCUAAAGUUGGACAUUUUCAAUCUAUCCCACAAAAUCAGGAUUGAUUUACCUUCAACCCAAUCUCAACAAAUCACUAUUGAAAUCAACUUAUCAACAACCACUCCUAUUAUCUUGGUUUUCGUCUAUCGCUACGCCCUAGGACUCCCCUUCUAUAACCAUCAUUUUACUCUCUCGCUAUCUCUAUGAAAACCUUAGAAAUUUGAAUGAACCACCACCACCUUACCUCCGGUGCUACACCCCAACUGCCUCUGCUGAUCUAAACCGAUAAACAAACACCACAGCCAAUACCACAACACCACAUCUCUUCCACCAUCGCAUGAUUUCCAUCACUUCCUUCUCAGUCUCUCUUACUUGAGAUUUGUUUUCCUACUCAUGCAUCUUACCGCUACUGAAAAAGACAGAACAAAAGCACCAAAUGAUUAGGUUGAAGGUAACAUAUCCCUAUUUCUAAUUAGAGGUCGAUUGGAUUAUGAUUCGUUCUCUCUUUUGUUUUUAUUUUUUCAAAAUUUUCCAAAGAAGAAGAGUCGUUCUCUCUUUUCUUUUCAUUAUUAUUGUAUGUGUUUAGUUUUGUAAUUAUUUAUCGAAGUUUUUUGAUAAAAUAGUGAUUAACAGGCAAGCAUACCAGGUGUUUGUGAAAAUGUCUCACAUAUACCAUGCUUGUAUAUGUUCAUCAAAUCACCACAAUUAUAAUUGGAUACAGUUCUUAUCAGUUACUUGUCUAUUAUAAAUUUUUAUUACAUUUUCCUUUAUUAUAAUAUAUGAACUAAGUUUAAUAAUUUAAAUGUAGUUUUUUUUUCAGAGCUUCGUCUUCACCUCCAAAUUGGAAAAAAGUUGUUGAUGAGAGGCAUGCAGGUAUUAACACCUCAAAACCAUGUUAUUGAAUUCAAUAAUGGAAUCUAAAUGAUAUAAUAUCAAUGUAAUUUCAUAGUUGGAGGUGAAGAUCAUUCAUAUUAGUUUUAUUUUUUCAAAUUCUAUUUUUAGAGGGCAAUGAUUUUUUUAUUCUUGGCUAUUCCAAAUUCAUAGUUGACAAUAAGGAUCCAAGUUUCAUAUUUUUUUACCAGAGUUUUUUAUUUUUGUUGACAACAAACUCAUAAUGUUGGUGUUUGUUGGAGUACAUUACUAAUUUUAUCGAGAGGCGAGUUCUUAUUAGUCUCAAAUAUUAUAUAAAUUUUAAAAUAAAAUUAUUAGCAGAUGAUUAAAAUAAGUUAGCAUUCAAUUGCUUAAUAGUUGUACAUCUAAAGAUGUAAUUAGAAUAAGUUUUAGAUAAGCAAGUUUGUCACUUGUAUAAUCUAUAUUGUUGCAUGACAUAAUCUGUCAAAUUUGUAACACAUGCACUUUGUUUUUUUUUCUCUAAUGUUUCACUCUUGGGUGGAAACAUAUAAAGCUUUCAUAUAUGUCUUUUUCCAGGGUUAGGUGGAGAUGGAACACACCUAUUUUUUUUUUUUUCAAAGUACAACUAUUUUGUUACUUUGUCCCUUUUUUCUUCCUAGGUACAUUUAACUUAUUUGAAUCCUCUUUUGAAAUUAUGUUGGUUUUUCAGGAUUACUGGUGGCUUCUGCAGUUGUCGGAGCAUGAUCUAAAUUGAUAAAUUUAUAAAUAAGACAAAUAAGCAACAUGCCCAUAAGUGGUUUUCAUAAGAAUGUUUGUAACAUACACCAUUCACUAUAACCUUAGUUAAUAAUUUGUUUUCAUCUCUCUUUUUGUUUUUGUGGCAUACAUUGCACAAAUUAGUAGAUAGAGUAAAGUAUAUUUCUAUUUUCUGCACUUUAUCUACACAUGUUAUAUUUAUUAUCUUCUGAAAAUCUAUCUGAAUUCUAACUUUUAAAGAUAGCUAAUGACUA